GCGGGGAGGGGCUGGCCCCCUGCUGCAUCAGGAUCCGGCUUCCUGGUGACGGGCUGCACUUGUGGCAUGGAUGGAGAAUGGAACGUACAGGGCUGAGGAGCUGCUUUUCUCUGCAUGUGUCCUGGAUCUCCAGAAUCAACAGGUCACCACUGAUCCCCGUUUGCCCAGCUGCUGGCCAUGCCCUCAUCUCCUGCCUCACACCCCUGCCC
rnacentral:lncRNA from 1 species